UUUAAAUAGCUCUUUUACAGGAAGGAAUGUGAAGUGUAAUAGACUCUAUUUCAAGUUCAAAACCUAACUGAAUAUACUUAUCUUGUUCAUUUCCUCUCU
rnacentral:lncRNA from 12 species